rnacentral:tRNA from 3 species
GCGCCCGUGGCUCAAUUGGAUAGAGUGCGUGGCUACGGACCACGAGGUUGGAGGUUCGAGUCCUCCCGGGCGUACUA